rnacentral:misc_RNA from 1 species
UUAUAUUCUAAAGCACAUGUACUUGUUCAAUGACAACGCUUAUUCGCAUUCGUGACCCCGAUCGUCAUUGAUUGCCUUAUACACACCUGUGUAUAUCCGUACGUGCUGUCGUCGUCUAUAUUGACUUGUGCAUCAACAUUUGACUAACGCUGCAUCUGGAAGAUACCUGUAUUCCCAUAGCAACUGUACGUGUUAUGUAGUCUAUGAUUGACGAGUGAGCCUAUCGAUCUACCGUACGCACACCUCUGAUUGUGAACAUGCCGGCAAUUAAAUGGUUUCCGUUCUGGAGACAUAUACCAGCCAACUCUAAGUUUACCGUGCUCAUCACGUGCGGUGUAGUCGUUAUUGUCGUGUUCACUUUGAAACUGUUUUCGGAACUACAUUUUGCCGUACAACGUUCAUCGGCCCGUGGACCAUCAUGUGCCGAAAUCCAACAGGGGCACGACCGUCUGAUGGCAAGUGUAGAGUUUUCGGGGGGACUCGGAAACAUCAUGUUCCAGUAUGCAUUUCUCUACGUCACGUCCCGGGCCCACGGGUAUGAGAUGGUCGUUCCAAGUACCAAGGAACUAGAUAUAUUGAAAGAGGCGUUUGAAAUCGAUACUAGUUCAUUUGAGAAAACCGACUGGGAAAAAGAUCUAACAGCGAGGUGUUUUGACGUUAUUGAAGAUGAAUGGGAUUGUGCUUACGAUCCCAAGUUAGUGGAGAAGUCAAGAAAGAAUGUCCAUUAUAAAGGCUAUUUCCAGUCCUGGAAAUACCUGGUUACAUAUGAAGACGACCUUCGCCAAAUAUUCAGGUUUCGUCCAAGUAUUCUUAACGAUGCAGCUUCUGUUUUACAAAAAACAAUAGCUAGCAGAUUAAAUAGUUUAAACAGCACGGACGUUCGUCCGGUUUUGGUAGGGAUCCAUGUACGAAGGGGUGACUAUUUAGAUGAAAAAGAAUUUGUUGAUUUCGGUUAUAACAUUGCAGAUUAUGGUUACAUUGAAAAAGCAAUGGCUUACUUCCGGCGGAAAUACUCAAACGUUCUAUUUAUAGCGUGCAGUAACGAUGUGAAAUGGGUUAAAGCAGGUUUCGGAACGACAGCGGAUGUAUUCAUUGUGGAAGGCAAUUCGGCCGCCACGGACAUGGCGAUUCUCUCACUAACUAACCACACCAUAAUGACGGUGGGGACGUUUGGUUGGUGGAUCAGUUUUCUCACCAAUGGACAUACAGUAUACUAUAAAUAUCCAUUCCGUCCCGGAUCUUUACUCGGCGAGCAGUUCAAAGGUAACAUCGACACACACAUAUAUCCUAACUGGGUCGGAUUAGAGGGCGACAAUAGUAAUCUCAUGAAUAUAUUCACAGUAAGAUCUCCUUAAUAAGGCUUAUCAAAUACUCAACUUAGAAUAUGUAUGGGUUACUUUUCAGAAAUUAUGUAUAAGAGUUAUUAUCGUGCCAUGAAAAAGAGUUUCCAAUUCGUUGUUACAGUGUUCGGCAGAGGUAUUUCUCUAACGUUAUAAAUGACAGAAAAUUAGAGUUUUCACGAAUCGUGAAUGAUAUUGUAUAUCAGAGUCUAAAGUGGAAACGUUUCACAAUAUGCAGGGUCCUUUGACAUUGUUUGUUGUAACAGGAAUCCGGAUUAGGUAGGGUUUCAACGUAUACAUCAUUCAGAGUGAUAAACCAAUAUAUAUAUAGGGUCAAGCUUAGUAAGGUUUCUAUAUACAAAGCGUCUUGAUGGACACGGUUUGACUUGAUACUGAGCCCGGAUUGUCAAGGAUCAAGGUUCAUCUAUAUAAAUAGUCCGGGUUGUUACAGAUUCACUGUAUACAGGAUCUGGAUUGUCUAGGUUCCACUGUAGUCCGGAUUGCUAAGAUUCAACAGAAUACUGAGUCCGGAUUGCCAAGGUUCCAUCGUUUACUGAGCUCGGAUUGUUGAAGUUCCACUGUGGUCCGGAUUGUUAUUGAGGUUCCACUGUAGUCCGUAUUGGUAAGGUUCCACUGUAGUCUGGAUUGUCAAGGUUCCACGGUAGUCCGGGUUGUCAAGAUUCCGCAGUAGUCCGGAUUGUCAAUUUCCCCCUGAAUACAGAGUCCGAAUUAUCAGAGUAAAACUCUAUGAAGAGUCUGAAUUAUUAAGGUUUAGAUGUAGUCCGAACUGUCAAGGUUCCGUUGUAGUCCGGAUUGUCAAAUUCCACUGUAGUCCGAAUUGUCAAGGCUCCACUGUAGUCCGGAUGGUUAAGGUUCCGUUGUAGUCUGAAUUGUCAAGGUUCCACUGUAGUCCGGAUGUUCAAAGCUCGAUUGUAUUCCGGAUUGUUAAGGUUCCACUGCAGUCCGGAUUGUUAAUGUUCCACUGCAGUCCGGAUAGUUAACGUUCCACUGUAUACUGAGUCCGGAUUGGCAAGGUUCCGUUGUAGUCCGGAUUGUCAAGGUUCCACUGCAGUCCGGAUGUUCAAAGUUCGAUUGUAUUCCGGAUUGUCAAGGUUCCACUGUAGUCUAGAUUUUCAAGGUUCGAUUGUAGUCCGGAUUGUCAAGGUUCCACUGUAGUCCGGAUUGUUAACGUUCCUCUGCAGUCCGGAUUGUUAUGGUUCCACUGUCGUCCGGUUUGUUAACGUUCCACUGUAUACUGAGACCGGAUAGUUAGGGUUCUAAUCUGUAAAGAGUUCGGAUUGUUUAUGUUAAUCUCGAUCCAUUACACGAUAUUACGCAUUACUACUGUAGGAAUUCGCAAUGAGGAAAUAGUGAUAUAAAAAAAUUACUAGUCAAGGUUCCACUGUAGUCCGAAUUUUCAAGGCACCACUGUAGUCCGGAUUGUCAAGGUUCCGUUGUAGUCCGAAUUAUCAAGGUUCAGUUGUAGUCUGGAUUGUCAUGGUUCCACUGUAGUCCGGAUGUUCAAGGUUCGAUUGUAUUCCGGAUUGUCAAGGUUCCACUGUAGUCCGGAUUGUUAACGUUCCUCUGCAGUCCGGAUUGUUAACGUUCCACUGUAGUCCGGAUUGUUAACGUUCCUCUGC